AUGUGGGCCCUCAACAUGAAGGCCGGCGGGCCGUGCCUCACGCCGAUUCGCCCCGCCCCCGCCGCCCGGGCCGGGAAGCCCUUCGCCGCCGCCGGCAAGGCGGGCCCGUGGUCCGCGUGGCGGAGGCGCGGCCUGGCGGUGAGGCCGCUUGUGGCGGUGCGCGCGUCGGGGAGGAGAGGCCAGGACGGGGCCGGCGGCGGCGGCGGCGACGAGGAAGCCGAGAGCAAAGCAUCCUCUUUCGGAAGUGGUGAUGCAUCUGUUCCAACAGGAGAUCGCUCUGAUGGAUUGAGCGAACCACCUGAUGAAUUAAAAUCCACUGAGCCAAUUAAUAUUUCGAACAGCAAUUACUGGAGAGAUGUCAGAGCAAAUCUUGUGCGUCGGGAACAGGAGCUAUUGGUAGAUCCAAGUGUUCCUGCAGAGUCAAAGGCGUCCUCUGGAGAAGCAGUACACCAGCUUCCUCAGAAGUGGGCUCACCCUAUUACAAUGCCGGAGGCAGGGUGUGUCUUGGUAGCUACUGAGGUGCUCGAUGACGACAGCGUCUUUGAAAGAACUGUUAUUCUCCUGCUCAGACUUGGGUCGAGAGGUACCUUUGAUGGCCCAUUUGGGGUCAUCCUAAACCGUCCACUUUACACGAAGAUCAAGAAUGUGAAUCCAUCAUCAUUCCAAGACCAAACAACCCCUUUCGGCGACUGCGCCCUCUUCUUCGGAGGCCCCGUUGACAUGAGCAUGUUCUUGGUCCGUACUAAAGACAGCUCACGUCUGAAGGGGUUUGAGGAGGUGAUACCAGGCAUCUGCUUUGGCUUUCGAACGGAGCUGGAGAAGGCUGGUGUUCUGAUGAAGAGUGGUGCUAUCAAUACCGAGGACCUGAGAUUCUUCGUGGGGCAUGCAGCCUGGGAUUACGAGCAGCUCCUGAGCGAGAUCCGGGCGGGAUACUGGGCUGUUGCUUCCUGUAGCACAGAGCUGAUCAGCGACGCGGUGUCAACAGAUCCUUCCUGUCUCUGGACCGAGAUACUGCAGCUGAUGGGAGGGCAUUACUCGGAGCUCAGCCAGAAACCGAAGCAAGACAGCUCGUAG
rnacentral:rRNA from 1 species